rnacentral:rRNA from 1 species
UUCGGCGGCCAUAGCGAAGGGGAAACGCCCGGUUACAUUCCGAACCCGGAAGCUAAGACCUUCUGCGCCGAUGGUACUGCGAGGG